UUUUUUUUACUUUCAUUUGCACCCCUUUUCACUAAAAAAAUGUAAAAAUGCUCUCAACCUCCCAUUCUCUCAACACACAUCCGGCCAAGACUCCGGUGAGCACUCGCGGCGGUUCCGCCGCAUAUCCGCCGUAACGCUGUCGUGCCGGAAAGCCAAAAGCGACCGAAACCCAAGUUUUUUAACAGAUCUCUUUUUUAAAAACAAAAUAAACCCUAUUUGGGUGUAUUUAAACUAGAAAAUGAAGAGAGAAAUGGAAAAGGGCCUUUCGGCUUCACUGCUUCCCUUCUCGGCGUAGCCUCGAAUGAGACCCUAGGGGGUUAUCACGACCUGGGCCGGACGGGGGAAGCCUCCGACGGCUGCGCACCGCGAGGGGCAGACGGAAUGAAUAGGAACUCCGACGACUCCUACAAUGUACUGGUGUACGGAGGCCAGCUGGGAGUACGUGGCAUGGACGGAGGUGGCCGUACGGAGGCGCGUUGGCUACGGCGCUGGAGGCUAGCUAGAAACCCUAGGGUUUCUAUUUCUGAAAGUUUUGUUUUGGGCCACAUUGUAAUUGGGCUAGGGUUUAGUAAUUUGGGCUGAUUUAGCUUUAGGUCUGGGCUUGGGUUAAUUGGGUUUUGUAAUCUAGACAUUUGGACUUUGGUUUUUUUGUUUUCUAUUGGUUUUAUUUAUUUCGGAUUUGGGCCGGGCAAAUUUGGGCCAUUACACCCAAAAUAUAACAAAUUCAUCA